UCCACCGCCUUCUCAAUUCUUCAAUUGCCUCUGCCACUCUACAAUCUGCACACGUGGAGGUGAAUUCGCUACAGCAGGUUCUCAGAAAACUCGAUGACAGUAUCUGGAGAAGCAAUAGGUUGAACGAAUUGGAUGAAGAAAUCAGAGAGGCAGCACAAAAAUUAGAAGAUUCGCUGGAAUACUACGAAAAAGGAUCUGGAGAUGGAGGAAGUGAGGCUCGAAAUAGCUUCUUUCUCCGAAAAUGUGAAGAGGAUGAAGGAAGAGUUCAUCAAAAAAUUAGACACGCCUGAAGAGGAUGAUAGUACACCAGAUUUUUCGUCAAUUAGGGAUGGUUGGAAUCUCCGAUGAGAUUAGUGGCAUUAAGAAAAAGCUGGUUGGAGGUGUGAGGCCAUGCGACUAUGGCAUUUUCUGGAUUGUUGGGAGGGCUGGCAGCGGAAGAACAGUUACUGCGAGGAUCAUCCUUGAAGAGCUGCUCGUAGGCAAAGAUAAAUGUGUGGAUUGCGGCGCGUGGGUGACAAUAGGCCCAAAUAUCAAUGGGAAGAUAUCAUUUUAGCUAUUCUUCGUCAACUAGGUUAUCCUUCCAAUGAAAUUAAGAUUGCAGAAUGUUGUAAACGUAAUGCUAAAUCCAACAGUUAUCCGCUAUUAUUACGCAAUAUAGGUUUAUGUAGGUUAUGGAUUCACUGAUCUACUAACAAGUGGAACUAGUGUUGAGUUGCCUCCAAGCUUGUGAAAGAGUAAAUGUGUUUGCUUUCUUCUUGAAUAUCUCGUUUCAGACUGGACAUCCUGUUAAUCCAGACCAGUCUUUAGGAUUAGGAGAUGAUGAGGAACUACUAGUUGAGCAUUUGUACACGAGAUUGAAGGAUUGCAGAUACAUGAUUGUUUUGGAUGAUGUGUGCGACACAAAUAUUUGGGACUACUUGAGACGGUCAUUUCCAAAGCAAGAUAAUGGAAGCCUACUCUUGCUUACUACCAGUUUAGAGAAAAUAGCUCUGUUUUCAUAUAGUUUCCAUAUUUCUCGUAUGCCUGACUUUGAUGAACAUCCUAUGUGGGACUUUCUUUGCUUGGUUGUUUUUGGAGGGCCAUUUUGCCCGCCACAACUUGAGGAAGCUGGAAAGAAUAUAAUCAAGAAUUGCCAAGGUCUCCGUCUCGUAGUCAUUAAGGUACUUCUCUUCCUUUCCAGCACCAAGAAGACACCAGAGCACUGGAACAACAUAGCUGCUGACAAAGACAAUCCUAUUUUCAUGGUUGCUGAUGAAAUAUCUGAGGUUUGUAGAUUCAAAGACGACUUUAACAAUUCAGUGCCAGAUGAUGAUCGAAGAGCUGCAACUUUUAAAAUAGUGGCAAAAAUGCUCAACUUCUCAAAUCAUGUGGAAGGGAUUAAGUUGCAAAUGUUCUCAAAAAGGUUACAUCCGAACAUGGAGAUUUUUUCGAUCUUUGGGAUGGCAGGGAUUGGUAAAACUACUCUGGUUAAGAAAGUUUUCGCUAAUUCUGUGCCAUUUUGAUCAUAUCAUGCAUGGAUCACUCUUGGCCCAAAUUAUCAAUCGGAAGAAUUCUUGGUAGAUAUUUUGGCGAGACUAUGUGUUGCUGUUGACAAAAUGCAUUUAAGAGAAGAUGAGAAACUGGUUAAGGAUUUGUGCACAUCAUUAUCCAAUAAGAGAUGCCUCAUUGUGUUGGAUGAUUUAUGGAACAAAGAACCCUUGCAUUACCUGAAAAAUCUAUUGCCCGACAUCAAGGGUGAAACCUUCGUAACAAGAAGGCAAUUUGAAGUAGCAAAAUGUGGAAGAUCUGAUUUUGUUUACAAGAUGCCCUUGCUAGAUGAAGAAGAAAGUUGGCUUCUUUUUUGUCGGAAGUUGUUCUCCAGUGACUUAUGCCCUCAAGCUCUAAUGUCAAAUGUAGUAUCUCCGAGCUACAAUUACUUGCCUCAACAUUUAAAAGCCUGCUUUCUGUAUAUGGGAAUUUUCUCUCAAAAUUAUGAGAUCCCAACUUCCAAACUUGUCAGAAUGUGGGCUGCUGAGGGAUUCCUCGAACCUAAUCCAUCCCAAACUUUGAAAGAUUUUGCCAUGGAUUGUUUGGCAGAGCUUGUUGACAAAAGUCUAGUCAUGGUUUGCAAGAAGGGCAUGAAGGUCAAAGUCAAGACUUGCCGCCUUCAUUCUGUAUUUUGGCACCUAUCUAACAGCGAAAGCGGUGAGGUGCAAGUUUUUCCUCACACUGAAUGUUGAUGUCCAUAAUUCAGUCGAAAGUAUAGAGGCAUAUCGCAGGUUGUGCAUUCGCAAUGCAGUCCUAUUCAGCCUCAAAGAUUUGCAAGAUUCAAUCAUGUCAAUCUCGCGUAUACAUUCUUUGCUCUAUACUGGUCCUCACCAUCAAUAUCCAGUACCGAUAUCUUUCACUUUAAAGUUCCUAAGGGUACUCUAUGCUCUUAUGAUCCGCUUUAUGAGUUUCCAGUUGAAGUAGUGAAACUAACUCAACUAACCUUUCUUGCACUCACUUGCAACGGGGAAUUGCCAGGUUCCAUAUCCAAACUUCAGAAACUUCAGCAUUUGACUGUCGGCUGGCAUCUGAGCAUCAAGUCACGAGAACAUUCUUCACAUUUGCCAGCAGAAAUUUGGGAUAUGAAGGAAUUAAACCAUCUUCAGAUCGAGGGAGGGCGCUUACAGAAUCCCAGUUCCGACACUAUUUUACCUAAACUCUUGACACUCUUAGAGGUGGAUGCUCAAAGCUGCACCAAGAAGGUCCUCCAGAAAAUCCCCAAUCUGAAGAAGUUUGGAAUUCAAAUCGAAUUGGAACCAGAUGAUGACAACAGUAAAAGCUUCCAAUGUUUGAAUCGUAUCUCUCGUCUCCGUAGACUAGAGUCACUUAAAUGUGUCGUGUUGAAUCCUGACCUUGCCCCUGAUGUUGUCCCCCCGCCCGCUCCUCGUUCGAUGUUUCCAUCGGGUCUUAAAAAACUGAGUCUGAGUGGGCUUGGAUAUCCAUGGAAGAACAUGAGUAUAAUAGGUAAUUUGGAGAAUCUUGAGGUGCUCAAAUUGCAAUGCUAUGCCUUUCAAAGGCCGGGAUGGGAAACGAAUUACCGCGACUUUAGAAAUCUAAAAUAUCUUGUGAUUGAAGAUACAGAUCUGGUCUGCUGGAAACUCACAGUACCCAGCUUCCUAAAGCUUGAGCAUAUAAGCAUUAAACACUGCUACAAUUUUGAAGAGCUUCCUCUCAAUACUGUAUCCUCUGUGAAAAUGAUUGAAGUAGAUGACUGCAACUCUGUGGUUAUGAAAUGGGCAGAGGAAAUGAAAGCGAAGCACGCAUGGAAUGUUUAUGGUAUGCCAGCUCGUAAAAAUCAAGUCACUUGUUCAUGGGAUGCUGGUAAGAAAUUCAAGUAAAGUAAGAUCAUUUUCACUUUAAUUAGAUUUAACUAGCUACUUAAAGUUAAACUUUCUCCUUUUAUGGUUUUUGCAUGUUUGGCAUAGUAAGAAAAGAAAAAAAAGUUUUUAUUAA